AGGAUCCUACGGGGGGCAGCAGUGAGGAAUAUUGGUCAAUGGUCGGGAGACUGAACCAGCCAAGCCGCGUGAGGGAGGAAGGUACAGAGUAUCGUAAACCUCUUUUGUCAGGGAACAAAGGCGGGGACGUGUCCCCGGAUGAGUGUACCUGAAGAAAAAGCAUCGGCUAACUCCGUGCCAGCAGCCGCGGUAAUACGGAGGAUGCGAGCGUUAUCCGGAUUUAUUGGGUUUAAAGGGUGCGCAGGCGGGAGAUCAA
rnacentral:rRNA from 1 species